rnacentral:rRNA from 1 species
CCCGCACAAGCAGCGGAGCGUGUGGUUAAUUCGAUGCUACACGAAGAACCUUACCAGGUUUGACAUACAAGUAGUAGGGAAAGGAAACUGGACCGACCUUCGGGGAGCUUGUACAGGUGCUGCAUGGCUGUCGUCAGCUCGUGUCGUGAGAUGUUCGGUUAAGUCCGCUAACGAGCGCAACCCUCGUCGUAUGUUAUAUGUGUCAUACGAGACUGCCGGUAAAAGCCGGAGGAAGGUGAGGAUGAUGUCAAGUCAGCAUGACCUUUAUAUCCAGGGCUACACACACGCUACAAUGGUCUGUACAAUGGGUAGCCAAGCCGCGAGGCGGAGCCAAUCCUGAAAGCAGGCCUCAGUUCAGAUUGCAGUCUGCAACUCGACUGCAUGAAGCCGGAGUUGCUAGUAACCGCAGGUCAGCAAUACUGCGGUGAAUACGUUCCCGGGUCUU